UUAAAUGAACAAUUAGUCCUACUUACCUACG
rnacentral:piRNA from 1 species